GCCAUGGCUCACGAUCUAGCAUAAUAUCUGUGAGUCACACAGUGAUGCUUCUAGCUGCCCAUAGCAUUUUAACUUAAAAAGAAAAGUUGUAAAUGUAAUGAACAAUCUAAAAGUUUCAUCCAAAUUCUAGGCUUUUCUGAUGCUGGGAAAGAAGCUUUUGAUGUAUAUUCUGCAUGCAUUCUGAUUUGUCUGACUCAAUAUCUUCUCAUCUUUCAUGGAUGUGUAUUUAGCCUCAUUGAGUGAACAGGCUUUGAGGAGCAGCAAUCUGCAUACUUCUAAAAGAAAUGAUUUGGCCACCUGCACUUUUGGAAAAUUGU